rnacentral:rRNA from 1 species
UACACUCCUGCGGGAGGCAGCAGUGGGGAAUAUUGGACAAUGGGCGCAAGCCUGAUCCAGCCAUGCCGCGUGAGUGAUGAAGGCCCUAGGGUUGUAAAGCUCUUUCACCGGUGAAGAUAAUGACGGUAACCGGAGAAGAAGCCCCGGCUAACUUCGUGCCAGCAGCCGCGGUAAUACGAAGGGGGCUAGCGUUGUUCGGAUUUACUGGGCGUAAAGCGCACGUAGGCGGACUAUUAAGUCAGGGGUGAAAUCCCGGGGCUCAACCCCGGAACUGCCUUUGAUACUGGUAGUCUUGAGUUCGAGAGAGGUGAGUGGAAUUCCGAGUGUAGAGGUGAAAUUCGUAGAUAUUCGGAGGAACACCAGUGGCGAAGGCGGCUCACUGGCUCGAUACUGACGCUGAGGUGCGAAAGCGUGGGGAGCAAACAGGAUUAGAUACCCCGGUAGUCCCAUG